UACGUAGGGUGCGAGCGUUGUCCGGAAUUACUGGGCGUAAAGAGCUCGUAGGUGGUUUGUCGCGUUGUUCGUGAAAACUCACAACUCAAUUGUGGGCGUGCGGGCGAUACGGGCAGACUGGAGUACUGCAGGGGAGACUGGAAUUCCUGGUGUAGCGGUGGAAUGCGCAGAUAUCAGGAGGAACACCGGUGGCGAAGGCGGGGUCUCUGGGCAGUAACUGACGCUGGAGGAGCGAAAGCGUGGGGAGCGAACAGGA
rnacentral:rRNA from 1 species